rnacentral:rRNA from 1 species
AGGACGAACGCUGGCGGCGCGCCUAAGUACAUGCAAGUCGAACGGGUACCUCUUCGGAGGUGCUAGUGGCGGACGGGUGAGUAACACGUGGGCGACCUGCCUUUGAGUGGGGAAUAACGCUGGGAAACCAGCGCUAAUACCGCAUGCGCUCGCCGUUUCAUUACGGCGAGGAAAGCUUGAUGCGCUCAAAGAGGGGCCUGCGGCGGAUUAGCUAGUCGGUGGGGUAACGGCCUACCGAGGCAUCGAUCCGUAGCUGGUCUGAGAGGAUGAUCAGCCACACUGGGACUGAGACACGGCCCAGACUCCUACGGGAGGCAGCAGUAAGGAAUCUUCCACAAU